AUACGGAGGAUCCAAGCGUUAUCCGGAAUCAUUGGGUUUAAAGGGUCCGUAGGCGGGCAAUUAAGUCAGAGGUGAAAGUUUGCGGCUCAACCGUAAAAUUGCCUUUGAAACUGGUUGUCUUGAAUUAUUAUGAAGUGGUUAGAAUAAGUAGUGUAGCGGUGAAAUGCAUAGAUAUUACUUAGAAUACCAAUUGCGAAGGCAGGUCACUAAUAAUAUAUUGACGCUGAUGGACGAAAGCGUGGGGAGCGAACAGGAUUAGAAACCCUAGUAGUCC
rnacentral:rRNA from 1 species